GAUGAACGCUGGCGGCGUGCCUAAUACAUGCAAGUCGAGCGAACAGACGAGGAGCUUGCUCCUCUGACGUUAGCGGCGGACGGGUGAGUAACACGUGGAUAACCUACCUAUAAGACUGGGAUAACUUCGGGAAACCGGCGCUAAUACCGGAUAAUAUCUUGAACCGCAUGGUUCAAUAGUGAAAGACGGUUUUGCUGUCACUUAUAGAUGGAUCCGCGCCGCAUUAGCUAGUUGGUAAGGUAACGGCUUACCAAGGCAACGAUGCGUAGCCGACCUGAGAGGGUGAUCGGCCACACUGGAAGUGAGACACGGUCCAGACUCCUAAGGGAGGCAGCAGUAGGGAAUCUUCCGCAAUGGGCGAAAGCAUGACGGAGCAACGCCGCGUGAGUGAUGAAGGUCUUCGGAUCGUAAAACUCUGUUAUUAGGGAAGAACAAAUGUGUAAGUAACUAUGCACGUCUUGACGGUACCUAAUCAGAAAGCCACGGCUAACUACGUG
rnacentral:rRNA from 1 species